rnacentral:tRNA from 1 species
AGGAUUAUAAUUUAAAAAAAAUAUUUGAUUUGCAAUCAAAAAAUAUUAUUACUAUAAUUUAUCUUA